rnacentral:rRNA from 1 species
AGGACGAACGCUGGCGGCGUGCUUAACACAUGCAAGUCGAGCGGAAAGGCCCUUCGGGGUACUCGAGCGGCGAACGGGUGAGUAACACGUGAGCAACCUGCCCUUAGCUUCGGGAUAGCUCCGGGAAACCGGAAUUAAUACCGAAUAUGACUUUGGCUGACAUCAGCAGAAAGUGGAAAGUUUUUCGGCUAGGGAUGGACUCGCGGCCUAUCAGCUAGUUGGUGGGGUAACGGCCUACCAAGGCGACGAUGGGUAGCUGGCUUGAGAGAGCGACCAGCCACACUGGGACUGAGACACGGCCCAGACUCCUACGGGAGGCAGCAGUGAGGAAUUUUCCGCAAUGGGCGAAAGCCUGACGGAGCGACGCCGCGUGUGGGAAGAAGGCCCUAGGGUCGUAAACCACUGUCGAAGGGAAGAUAUUGACGGUACCCUUGGAGGAAGCCCCGGCUAACUACGCGCCAGCAGCCGC